rnacentral:lncRNA from 1 species
CUAGACAGACAAACCUCCUAGUUUUCCUCCCGCGCCGCCACCCUGUGUCUCCCACCUCGAGAUCGCCCCGAUCCAAAAAUCCAUGCCCAAGCCCCAAUCCCCUCUGCUUCUCCAGCUUCUCCAGUGCCUCGCCUCUGCGACCUGGACGCAUCCAUCAACCACAGCCGCCUCGUCCGCGUGACCAUAAGAGCAGAAGCUCCUGCAGGCACGCAUCGCCAGAAGCGGCCUCGUCCCUCAUGCCAGGCGACCCGGGUCCUCUCUCCUCCAUACCGAGCACCUCCUCCUCUUGAUUCCCUGUCUUCCCUGAUCUCUUUUCUUAUUUUUUUUGUCUUCCUUAGGAUCUCCUCGCUGUGCCUGGGAACCAGCAGGUUCAGCAACACCGCAGGUGCAGUAGCUCUGCCAACAACAGUUGGAUCUGGCCAUGUGAUGCAUGAACCGCAACAUCCCUCCGCCGCCGAAGCUCGAUGCCAUGGUCUUCCCGGUCGCCGUACGGCCAGCACGUCGAGAAUUGCCGGAGCUCCUCCAUGCCGCGGCAACGGUAGCCGAGGCCUCGCGCGCGAGCCCCCUCGCUCUCCUCAUAGGACCGGCAGCCACCGGCAACCGAACCAGCUGUCCAGGACCCCGCGUUCCUUCGAUCCCCUUCCCCUCGUUUCCCUCUCCACCUUCUCUCUCCCUCAUCUCAUCCAUCUCUCAUGUGUUUUGAUUCAGGAAUUCAGAACCGUAUGCCACAACAAUGGAGCCAGCCAUGGGAGUACUUCGAGUUGCUGAACCUUGUCGCCUCCGACCAACAGCAGGUCAACCGCAGCCUCGCCCCGUGCUCCUCCAUGUCCGCCAUGACCCUGCUCCGGCCGGCCACCGGCGACCUCCAGGAUGAUCCCCUUGUCUCUGCGUCCUUUCUCUAUGUCAGGAACAGAACGGAAUCCCGCUGCACCCAUGGAGCUCCCUCGUCUUGACCGCC